UCGAUUUUCUUCAAUCGAAAUCCGCUUUCCUUCCCUCCGCUCUCGACAGGGGAGGUCUGAAGCUGCAGAACCCUCCCCCUCCCUGAAACCCCGGGCCCUUGGUCGGCGUCUGGUAUCGGGUCAUUUGGGAGCUGCUUUCCCGCACUGCCGGCAGCACAUGACGCGGGCUCCGCCGAGCGCUCCCCGUCGGUGCGACAUCAUCCCUGCGGUGAAGGAGUAGCAUCGCUGGCUAACGUCAGCUAACAACACCGAUCUCUUUGCUGCUCCACCCCCUCUUCCUCCUGGUCAACCCCCGCUACCGAUCUGUCACAUCAGUAGUGGAUUGAUAACUUAAAACAGGACCACCGAGGGCAACCCCCCCCCCCCCCCCCCCCCCACCUCGACGACCUUCUGUUGACUAGCGCAGGAAGCCCACGCUUUCUCAACAAACGAGUCGGAGUAAGGACCGUGUAGCUAGUUCAGUUUUAACCCUCAUAUUGAGACAAACGACCUUUCCUUUCGCUCUGUGGCCUUUAGGGAUCCGUGUAUUCUCUACCUCAUCACCCCGAUGCCUAUUAUUCCCGUUGUGUAACUUCAGCUGCCCUGUCAACCCAGUUCUGAUCACACCCCCCCCCAUCCCCCCCCUCCUCCCCUGUGAAGCUCACCGACACCUCCUGCUCUCACAGUCCGACCAGCGAGCGCUUCUUGAUGGGCACCGACUGCAGUGACUCCCAGCCGACAUCUCCACUUUACUCUCUUUUACUCUUCAGUUCUUCUCGGUUCAGCUGCGUUGUGAAACUGGCUGACUGGCCUUUUAAACUGACUACCUUAAUAAAUUAAACUAGCAGUCACCUUAAAACUGCGACCCCCCCCCCCAGCAGAUCUCCUAAACAAACUCCACAGCGCGCCCGGGUCUCGCCAUGCCGGGUCCGGUGGCCGGAAGCAAAUCCCGUGUGUACGCAGAUGUCAACACGCUGAAAAGCCGGGAGUACUGGGACUACGAGGCCCAUGUACCCAACUGGAACAACCAGGAGGACUACCAGCUGGUCCGUAAGCUGGGCAGGGGAAAGUACAGUGAAGUCUUUGAAGCAAUCAACAUCACCAACAAUGACAAGGUGGUUGUCAAGAUCCUAAAGCCAGUCAAGAAGAAGAAGAUCAAGCGAGAGAUCAAGAUACUGGAAAACCUCAGAGGGGGUACCAACAUAAUUCGACUGGUGGACACAGUCAAGGACCCAGUGUCCAGAACUCCUGCGCUCAUCUUUGAAUGCAUCAAUAACACAGAUUUUAAGGAGUUGUACCAGAAGUUAACAGAUUAUGAUAUCCGUUUCUAUAUGUAUGAACUACUAAAGGCUCUUGACUAUUGUCACAGUAUGGGAAUCAUGCACCGUGAUGUUAAACCCCACAACGUUAUGAUUGACCACCAGUUGAGAAAGCUGCGCCUUAUAGACUGGGGUUUGGCAGAGUUUUACCAUCCAUCCCAGGAGUACAACGUCAGAGUGGCAUCACGAUACUUCAAAGGCCCAGAACUUCUGGUGGACUACCAGAUGUAUGAUUACAGUCUAGACAUGUGGAGCUUGGGCUGUAUGCUGGCCAGUAUGAUUUUUCAGAAAGAGCCCUUUUUCCAUGGACAGGACAACUAUGACCAGCUGGUGCGAAUUGCCAAGGUCCUAGGGACAGACGAGUUGUUUGGCUACCUACGUAAAUACCAUAUUGAACUUGACCCACGCUUCAAAGACCUGUUGGGACAUCCACCUUUUCCACUACAGCUCCAAGUUGUAGCCUCUCUUAGGUUAUGUGCUGAGGGAAACAUCUGCACCUGCUUGAUCCAAAUAGUCACAACCCCAAAAGGUGCCAUGUGGAGUUGUUCUGGCAGAGCAGGAAACGCUGGGAGCAGUUUGUGCAGACAGAAAAUCAGCAUUUGGUGAGUCCUGAAGCCUUGGACCUUCUGGACAAGCUGCUACGUUACGACCAUCAACAGAGAUUGACGGCCACAGAGGCCAUGGAGCAUCCAUACUUCUACCCAGUAAUAAAGGAGCAGUCUCUGUCAAACUCUGACAACAACAUGGUUUCCAGUGGCAACACUACAGCACGAUGAAACAGGAGUGGAAGAAGAAGGAUGUUUGUUACCUCAACUUUUUACAUGGUUGUGACAGUAACUCUAAAUGUACAGUGACAAUGGAUCAAAGUAACUCUGACCAGUUACUGACUCAAAGAUAUGUGCAUACGGAUACACAAAUCUAUACAAACAAAACUCACAGAUCAUGCAAGCACACCCUUUCUACAAACACACAUGCAGACAAGUAUACAUAUACCCUCCUCUGUAUCAGUUUGCAAUUGGCUUGUCCUUUUUUCAUGUCUAAUACCCCCGAAUAAUGAUUUUGAAGCUGCUUCCUUUUCUUUUGCAAACUAUUUCAAUCCCAGAUCAGUUGCAAGCAGGAUGAAAAGGACAAACUGCUUUUAAGGACAAUUUACUCUCAGCUCUCUCUCAUAACUUCUCCUCCCCUCUUUGUUUUGCAUCAGCAUGGAGAAUGAAAAGGAGUGUAAGUCUGUAGAAGUCUCUUCCCUUCCCUUAUUUCUAUACUCCCACCUGUUUAUUCAUGGGUAUGUCUGUCUCCCCUCCAUCCUUCCAUUCUGACCCUCAGACAGACAAUCUUAGCACUACUCCAGUUCUGAAAGUGGCAUGGUGGACUUUAAAUAGAAGGAUGAUAAUACUUAUAAUAUUAAUGACAAAUAAAUGAUUUUUAUUUAGAUGAA